rnacentral:rRNA from 1 species
UGGCGGCAUGCCUUACACAUGCAAGUCGAGCGGCAGCGCGGGGGCAACCCUGGCGGCGAGCGGCGAACGGGUGAGUAAUGCAUCGGAACGUGUCCUCUUGUGGGGGAUAACCAGUCGAAAGACUGGCUAUACCGCAUGAGAUCGAGAGAUGAAAGCAGGGGACCGCAAGGCCUUGCGCGAGAGGAGCGGCCGAUGCCCGAUUAGCUAGUUGGUGGGGUAAAAGCCUACCAAGGCGACGAUCGGUAGCUGGUCUGAGAGGACGACCAGCCACACUGGGACUGAGACACGGCCCAGACUCCUACGGGAGGCAGCAGUGGGGAAUUUUGGACAAUGGGGGCAACCCUGAUCCAGCCAUGCCGCGUGUGUGAAGAAGGCCUACGGGUUGUAAAGCACUUUCGGACGGAACGAAAUCGCGCGGAUUAAUAACUCGCGUGGAUGACGGUACCGUAAGAAGAAGCACCGGCUAACUACGUGCCAGCAGCCGCGGUAAUACGUAGGGUGCGAGCGUUAAUCGGAAUUACUGGGCGUAAAGUGUGCGCAGGCGGCGUUGCAAGUCGAGUGUGAAAUCCCCGAGCUUAACUUGGGAAUUGCAUUUGAGACUGUAUGGCUAGAGUGUGUCAGAGGGGGGUAGAAUUCCACGUGUAGCAGUGAAAUGCGUAGAUAUGUGGAGGAAUACCGAUGGCGAAGGCAGCCCCCUGGGAUAACACUGACGCUCAUGCACGAAAGCGUGGGGA